rnacentral:misc_RNA from 1 species
CCUUGCUGAAUUAUUCACCCUUGUCUUUUGCGUACUUCUUGUUUCCUUGGUGGGUUCGCCCACCACUAGGACAAACAUAAACCUUUUGUAAUUGCAAUCAGCGUCAGUAACAAAUUAAUAAUUACAACUUUCAACAACGGAUCUCUUGGUUCUGGCAUCGAUGAAGAACGCAGCGAAAUGCGAUAAGUAGUGUGAAUUGCAGAAUUCAGUGAAUCAUCGAAUCUUUGAACGCACAUUGCGCCCUUUGGUAUUCCAAAGGGCAUGCCUGUUCGAGCGUCAUUUGUACCCUCAAGCUUUGCUUGGUGUUGGGCGUCUUGUCUCUAGCUUUGCUGGAGACUCGCCUUAAAGUAAUUGGCAGCCGGCCUACUGGUUUCGGAGCGCAGCACAAGUCGCACUCUCUAUCAGCAAAGGUCUAGCAUCCAUUAAGCCUUUUUUUCAACUUUUGACCUCGGAUCAGGUAGGGAUACCCGCUGAACUUAAGCAUAUCAUAA